rnacentral:rRNA from 1 species
AUACGGAGGGUGCAAGCGUUACUCGGAAUCACUGGGCGUAAAGGAUGCGUAGGCGGAUAAUCAAGUCAAAAGUGAAAUCCUACAGCUUAACUGCAGAACUGCUUUCGAAACUGGUUAUCUAGAAUAUGGAAGAGGCAGAUGGAAUUAGUGGUGUAGGGGUAAAAUCCGUAGAGAUCACUAGGAAUACCGAUUGCGAAGGCGAUCUGCUGGGACAUUAUUGACGCUGAGGCAUGAAAGCGGGGGGAGCAAACAGGAUUAGAAACCCCAGUAGUCC